UGGGGAAUUUUGGACAAUGGGGGAAACCCUGAUCCAGCCAUCCCGCGUGUGCGAUGAAGGCCUUCGGGUUGUAAAGCACUUUUGGCAGGAAAGAAACGUCAUGGGUUAAUACCCCGUGAAACUGACGGUACCUGCAGAAUAAGCACCGGCUAACUACGUGCCAGCAGCCGCGGUAAUACGUAGGGUGCAAGCGUUAAUCGGAAUUACUGGGCGUAAAGCGUGCGCAGGCGGUUCGGAAAGAAAGAUGUGAAAUCCCAGAGCUCAACUUUGGAACUGCAUUUUUAACUACCGGGCUAGAGUGUGUCAGAGGGAGGUGGAAUUCCGCGUGUAGCAGUGAAAUGCGUAGAUAUGCGGAGAAACACCGAUGGCGAAGGCAGCCUCCUGGGAUAACACUGACGCUCAUGCACGAAAGCGUGGGGAGCAAACAGG
rnacentral:rRNA from 1 species